AAUAUGGACAAUCAGACAAAAAUCCUGGUUAACAGGAUAAAUGAAAGGAUGCAAAAGGUGGAUAAUUCCAUCGAUGAAAAAGCACAGAAAUUGUUCAAAAUAAGAGAUGAACUCUCAAAAUUGUCUGAACAAGCUCGAAUGUUACAAUUCGAAAUAAAUCAACUCAGCACAGACCAAACUGAAAAUAUGAGAGAAUUUUUACUUCUCUGUGAACAUUUGGAUACACGUCCAAUUCAGAAUUCAAAUCUGAAAGAGAUUAUCAAUCUCAACAAGGUGGCAGGAGAUGUCCCACCAGCACCUAGUUCAAAAAACAUCUCGAUGGUACGCAUGGAUAUGUCAUCUUCAUCCAAAAAGGAUGUAAGAAAAAGCCGAGCAAAUGAAGCUUCUAGCUCAUCAUCAGUGAAAACUGAAAAAACAUCUGGAAACCCAGAAAAUAAAACUAACCCAGAGUCAUCUGGAGCAAAAGUUUUUUCUUCUUUGUAGGUACAUUCAAAAGAAGAAGAAUAUUUAAAAUUUACAAAAUACAUUUACAAUCUCCCCGAACACAGUGGAGAAACCUAUGGAGUUUUGGGAACUACCAGUUUAUUUCCUAGAAUUUUCAUAUUUCCAAAUGGGAUUCCGAGCUUUACAGCUCAAUUAUUUGAGUUUGUAUUUUUAGAUCGUGUUUACACAAGUCCAGAUCUCAGAGAAUUAUCUCAACUACCCUCCAGAUUGUUCAACGCAAUCAGAAAUUUCAGCCAAGGCGAUGGAGGAGUAUACUGUAGAUGCUAUAGUAUUGCAAUGGAAGGUCAAGAUUCUCAGGCCUACUAUCCAACUCUCAACUACAUAUCAGUUGAGAAAAUAAAAGAUUUCAAUGUUAAGGCUACGGGAGUUGAUAAAAAACUUCCUUUUCUUAACACAAAAUAGAUACAAACCAGAAGGGCAUUAGGGAUAAAAGUCUUAUAUGCCAUUUUAAAUAGGCUUUUCCGAGAUAAUUUCACGGUAAUUGAUCAAGAUUCUGACUGGGUGUUAAUUACUAAAGGAAAUUCAAAGUCAGAAUUACUUAAAGAAAGAAUUCUUGAUAUCGAGCUCCAUAGAUUAGGGGCAUCAGAAAAAACUUGGAAGCUAGCAUGCAAAAUGUUAGAACAUGAGCACAAUCGAUAAAUGAAGAUCGAUGAAGAAGAAAGACGUAAGCACUUACGUAAAUGAACAAAAACGUAAGCACUUACGUUUACAAAAGAAGAAAAGGACAAAAUACUUUUCUUUUAAAAAGAAAAAGCAGAUGCUUUGUCGGCCAGAACAAAAAGCAGCCCAUGUGAAGAAAGAGAAAGACUUUUGACUCAGAUGAGUCUAGAAAGGAAUCUUUAAAGGAAUACCCUUUAAAGAUAAAUAAUUGUAACAUAAGUCCCUCCUUAUCAUCUAUAAAAGGAGAGAGACAUUAUUGUAAUAGGUAGAGGUCUUAGAAGUGAGAAAAUAAGUUUUAAAGUAAGAAAGUCUUAAAUAUGUGUGAGUAAGUUAGCUUCUCCCGCUAGGGAAAAGUAUUUUUAUUUAAUGUUUUGCUAAGAUAAAUACUUAUCUUAUGUAUGUAAUAUUGAAAUAUAUGAAAUAAAAGUUUGUUUACAUGUCAUUUUUCUCAAAAUUGAUAAAAAGUCGAAGUGGAAGUUGCGAUUUCCAGCCUUUAGGAGGAAUAGCUAGGAAAGUAGCCGUAAUUGAGAGAAGAAGGCGAAAAAUGCUAUUCAUGGCCGAAGAGGAGAAAUGCUGAGGCAUUGAUAGGACUGAUUAUCAACAAGAGGAAGAAGACUCAUUGUCGUUUUCAUUCAUCGAUUCUGCUGCAGAGGAGGAGAUUAAUUUUGAAGAUCUAGAAGAUUGUUUAAGUUUUAGUAGAUUUAUAAUUCGUUCAUUAUAUUGGUAUUUUAAAAUAAAGUUCUCUGUAGUUUGUUUUAUUUUAGCAUUUCAAAUUAUCGAAGAAUUACAAUUGGUUUGUUUUCUUGCAAGCUGAAGUUUAGAAAGUUA